rnacentral:ncRNA from 1 species
GGGAGCUGGGUGCGGUGAAAAUCGCACGCCCAGAUCUAACAGAGAGGUGCUCGGGAUAAUACCCGACAUCGACUCUAC